rnacentral:rRNA from 1 species
GACUCAGUGAAAUUGAACUCGCUGUGAAGAUGCAGUGUACCCGCGGCAAGACGGAAAGACCCCGUGAACCUUUACUAUAGCUUGACACUGAACAUUGAGCCUUGAUGUGUAGGAUAGGUGGGAGGCUUUGAAGCGUGGACGCCAGUCUGCGUGGAGCCGACCUUGAAAUACCACCCUUUAAUGUUUGAUGUUCUAACGUGGACCCGUGAUCCGGGUUGCGGACAGUGUCUGGUGGGUAGUUUGACUGGGGCGGUCUCCUCCUAAAGAGUAACGGAGGAGCACGAAGGUUGGCUAAUCCUGGUCGGACAUCAGGAGGUUAGUGCAAUGGCAUAAGCCAGCUUGACUGCGAGCGUGACGGCGCGAGCAGGUGCGAAAGCAGGUCAUAGUGAUCCGGUGGUUCUGAAUGGAAGGGCCAUCGCUCAACGGAUAAAAGGUACUCCGGGGAUAACAGGCUGAUACCGCCCAAGAGUUCAUAUCGACGGCGGUGUUUGGCACCUCGAUGUCGGCUCAUCACAUCCUGGGGCUGAAGUAGGUCCCAAGGGUAUGGCUGUUCGCCAUUUAAAGUGGUACGCGAGCUGGGUUUAGAACGUCGUGAGACAGUUCGGUCCCUAUCUGCCGUGGGCGCUGGAGAACUGAGGGGGGCUGCUCCUAGUACGAGAGGACCGGAGUGGACGCAUCACUGGUGUUCGGGUUGUCAUGCCAAUGGCACUGCCCGGUAGCUAAAUGCGGAAGAGAUAAGUGCUGAAAGCAUCUAAGCACGAAACUUGCCCCGA